GCAGUGGUGGUUUAGUGGUAGAAUUCUCCCCUUUCAAACUGGAGAGCCAGGUUCGAUUCCCGGCCAGUGCA
rnacentral:tRNA from 1 species